rnacentral:tRNA from 1 species
CGGGAUAUGGUGUAAGGGUAGCGUACCGGCGUUGGAGACCGGAAGACAUGGUUCGAGUCCAUGUAUCCCGAC